rnacentral:ncRNA from 2 species
UUGUAUAGUAAUACAAGAGCUUAUAUAUGGUCAUAAUAUGGAUGACUGUCUCUACCCGACACCGUAAAUGUCGGUCUAUAAGCGAAAAAGAGUCUGAG